rnacentral:lncRNA from 1 species
CCUGUAUUCAGGUACAUAGAAAUUAGCUCAAAAUUGGGAGAAAGAGUGUAAAGAGAGAACUGGAUAGGCAGGUAUUUAAACUCUUGUCUGUGAGAAAAUAACUGGUUUGUGUUUUUCUUCUAGGGCGGCCCAGGUUCUUCCCACAGUUCUUACUCCGGUAACCAGGGAGGGUCUUCCUACUAUCCUGGUGGAUCUUAUGGACAGGGAGGGUCUUCUGUUUAUGAUGGUAGCAGUGAAUCCUAUGGUCAGGGUGGAUCUUCCGCGUAUAGUGGUGCUGAGUCCUAUGGCCAGGAUUCGCCUUCCCUAGGAGGCAGUGAAACUGCUGAGAGUGAUUCCUCCUCACCAGCUGGUAGCCGCCAGAGUGAACGGGAUUUUUAUUCCCCAGGAGGCAGCCAGUCAGGUGGACAUGGAUCAUCUUCUCAAGGUGGUGGCUACUCGAGUGGACAGGACUCGUCGUCAUCUGGAAGUAGCCAGUAUGGUGGGCAGGGUUCAUCUUCUUCAGGAGGCAGCCAGCCUGGUGGACAGGGUGCAUGUGAUUGUUCUGGGGGAAGUUCUGGUGGAUCCCCUACCUUAGUCAGAAGUGAUGCCUCUGCAAAUGACUCAUCUUCUUCUGGAGGCAGCCAGUACAGCAGCCAAGAUUCAUAUUCCUCAGGAGCUAGCCAGUAUGGAGGACAUGGGCCAUCUUCUUAUGGAGGCAGCCAAUAUGGUGGACAAGGUUCACCUUCCUCAGGAGGCAGCCAAUAUGGUGGACAGGUGAGAAUUCUUCCCUUGUGGUGCUUACUACUUCAUCAGAGACAUUCGAUAAACGUCU